AACGUAGGAGACUAGCGUUAUCCGGAUUUACUGGGCGUAAAGCGUGUGCAGGCGGUUCGGCAAGUCGGAUGUGAAAGCCACCGGCUUAACUGGGGAGGGUCAUUCGAUACUGUUUAACUUGAAGGCAGGAGAGGGUAGUGGAAUUCCCGGUGUAGUGGUGAAAUGCGUAGAUAUCGGGAGGAACACCAGUGGCGAAGGCGACUACCUGGCCUGUUCUUGACGCUGAGGCGCGAAAGCUGGGGGAGCAAACGGG
rnacentral:rRNA from 1 species